rnacentral:tRNA from 1 species
UAGCUCAAUGGUUAAGUGCUUGGCUGCUAACCAAAAGGUUGGUGGUUCAAACCCACC